UUGUACACACCGCCCGUCGCUACUACCGAUUGAAUGAUUUAGUGAGGUCUUCGGACUGGUGCGCGGCAAUGUCUCGGCAUUGCCGAUGUUGCCGGGAAGAUGACCAAACUUGAUCAUUUAGAGGAAGUAAAAGUCGUAACAAGGUUUCCGUAGGUGAACCUGCGGAAGGAUCAUUA
rnacentral:rRNA from 5 species